rnacentral:rRNA from 1 species
UACGUAGGGGGCAAGCGUUGUCCGGAAUUAUUGGGCGUAAAGAGCGUGUAGGCGGUCCGGUAAGUCAGCUGUGAAAGUCAAGGGCUCAACCCUCGAAUGCCGGUUGAUACUGUCGGGUUAGAGUCCGGAAGAGGCGAGUGGAAUUCCCGGUGUAGCGGUGAAAUGCGCAGAUAUCGGGAGGAACACCAAUGGCGAAGGCAGCUCGCUGGGACGGUACUGACGCUGAGACGCGAAAGCGUGGGGAGCAAACAGG